UUAGAAUUACAAUCAAUGAGAAUUUGUUUAGUCUUGUUUGCAUUGCUUUUCACUUUCAGUUUGUGUCCACUUCCAGGAGCCAUUUAUAAAACCUGUAAGAAAAAAAAAAGUUAGAUUAAAAUUAUUAGAAUUGGAUUAACUAAUAAUAAAGAUAAGUUGCUUGUAUAAUUAUACAUAACAUUCUAGUGAGCAUUAAGAUGAAAAAAAUAUCAUAGCAGGGAGUGGGAAGCUGCGUGUUUCAAUUGGUCAAAGCAAGCUUAUUGCCAAAGCGGCUAAUAAGAAGAACAAAGAAAAGCAUUAUGUAAGCAAUAAUAGUGUUACAUAAACUUUCAACAGAUGAUGUGGGCUCUGGAAUAUGACCCAGAUUUGUGCUCUGUGUAUGAGGAUGACUCUGACGCACCUACUGAAAAAUUCGAUGGAUCUAAAGCAAAGACAAAAUCAACACGCCAAUGUGGCAAAUAUGAAAGGGAAAACAUGAAAAGUAGAGGCAAAGGUGGUGAAGUUGCACUCCCCAUUUAUGUUUUCUUAGUAGCUAGUGUCCUGAAGGAUAAGAGCUCAAAAUUACUAGCAAAAGCUCAUGGAUUGGAUGAUGUUGUCAAGGUCAGCUUGAUAAGUUCAUAAAAUUUAAUUAUAUAGAAACAUCCACUUCAAAAGUUAUUUUUAGUUGGGUAGACACAUGUUCAAUAAGGCGGUUUAAACUUUACAGUUUGUUUUACUUGCAUGCUUGUUGGUUUUAUGAGAUACACUGCACCAUCGUCACAAUGAGUUAGUUUCUUGAGGUGCAUGUUUGUUAAUUGAAAAAUUAAUUUAUUGAGGUGCGUGAUUUUUAGGUCUAAGAGAAUAUAUACAAUGUAUCCAGUAGCUACCUAACUGUUUCCUUGAAAACUACAAUCAGAAUAAAUUCACAAAGAUGCCCUACAUAUAAAAUCCUGAUCAUGGCCCUGAUAUUGAAAUACCAUGUAUGUCUAGGACUAAAAGUUAUGCAAUAAUAAAAAGUUAGCACAUCCCAUGAAAUUUUUUUUCCCACAAAAAUGAAGGGCCAUACAUGAAGUGAUAUACUAUAACCUGCUACAGUUCUCAAGUUUACCAAACUGUAUGGCAGGUUAGUUGUUUGCCUGGUUUCUUGAAAACUCUUACAAAAUGAACAAGUAAUCAACCAAAUAAUGUUUUGAACUUCAUAGAUGUAAUUUAAGGUCAUUGGUCAAAUAGUAACUUCUUUCACAAAAGAUUUCUGGACUAUAAAUAGUUUGGAAUACAAUGAACCAAAUAUCAAGCAAAAUGGGAGCUUGGGUAUACUUCCUAAAACUUUUGAUGGAUAUAAGACUUCCGAUACCAUUUAAAAAUAGGGAACAAGAAACAUCAAAUGAUGCACACCACAUAAUAAUAAAGAAUAGAUGCCAUUUGAUUAAACAUAAUGGUUGUUCAUGACAUGGUCAUAUCAGACAACCAUCAUUGUAAAUUACUGACUUUACCAUAAAUCUUGUAAAUGCUAAUACCCAAGAAACAACAAGUAUAAAUAUUAACAUUUAUAUGAACUACGUUAUAAUUGUAGUGUGCGUAUAUGUGCACAGUCCAAUUUUAUUUGGCAAAUAAUUUUUCUUCUUUGAUGUCUUUACCACCUUGUAAACCUUCAUACAAUAUACCAUAAGCUAAACCUUUCAGACAACUUCUCUCCGAUGUCUUGACCCACCUUGUGAAAGGUUAAAAUCAGUUCAUACAAUAUGUCAUAUGCUAAACCUUUCAGCUCUAAAAGCCAGUCAAAGAAACUUGCAUUUGUAUAAUCAGAAUCUAUAUUUACACCAAAAAGUAAUCUUUAUUAAACAUUUACGAGCAGUCCUUAUUAAACAUCACAACUAAUUUAUAAAUCGCCUUGGUUCUAUCUAAUAUUUGGUCUUUAACCAAAAUAGUCCAUAGAGGACUUUUGACAAACACCAUGUAUGCACUAUUUUAAAUCACCAUUCUCAUAGCCUUUAUUUAUGUUAUCAAUCCAUUUUAGCCUCCUUAUAUCACCACACAACCAAUCUAUCUCAUUUAUUCUAUUUCAAUUCAUAGCAAUUCAAUUAUAGCUCAAUUGCAAAAAGUAUAAGAACUUGGUCUCUUACACAAACAAAUACACAUAUACCUACAUGUGUCUGUAUAUAUGAAUAAUUACAGCAACUAAUGGAAUAUGGAUGAACAAAAAAAUACCUUCGAAAAAAUUGACGGGUCUUUGGGUCUUCGAAUUUAGGGCUUCUGCAAUUGGGACAGAAGGAGAAAUUUUGAAGAUGCAAAAAUGAAGUUUGGGGUAAAAUUUUGGGAUUAAUGAUAAUCCCUUCACCCAUAGGAAACAUUAUCCACACAAUCAAAUCUCAA
rnacentral:lncRNA from 1 species